UCAAGUCUUCCAUAAUUUCCAAAAUUUGGUAGAAAGGAAGUUCGAUAGGAAAAUUAUCUCUAUGCAAAUGGAUUGGGAGGGGGAAGAAUAUGAGAAACUCAAUCCUCUUUUGAUAAAAUUGGCAUCUCACAGAGUAUCUUGUCCUCAUGCUCAUCAACAAAAUGGUUCCGCUGAACGAAAACAUCGUCAUAUAGUUGAAGUUGGAUUGGACCUCCUUGCACAUGCUUCUAUGCCCUUAAAAUUUUGGGAUGAAGCUUUCUUGAUAGCUACAUAUCUCAUAAAUCUCCUUCCUAGCAAAGUUCUUGGCUUUCAAACUCCUAUUCAGUGUCUCCUCUAAGAAACUCUAGAUUAUAACUCUCUUCGUACUUUUGGAUGCGCAGUUUGGCCAAAUCUACGACCAUACAACACUAGAAAACUUGAUUUUUGCUCUACCAGAUGCGUGUUCCUUGGCUAUAGUUCCAUGCACAAAGGAUUUAAGUGCUUAGAACCUUCUUCUAGUCGAGUAUACAUCUCACAGGAUGUUGUCUUUGAUGAAUCGGUUUUUCCUUUCUCUACUCUCCAUCCUAAUGCAGGAGCUCUCCUUCGCAAGGAAAUUCUUCUAUUGCAUGAUCAUCUCACAAAUCCGGGGGUCUUGGUAGUGCUAACCCUUUGUUUACUAAUGUUUCUGAUGACCUUAGUGUUAAAUAGGACAGGGCUGCACAGGAUGUCCCUGAAGAAAAUCGGAGCCAAGGUGCUCCAAUGCAUUUUGUUUCCCCUGAUGCAUCGGCUGCAGAAAAUCUGGGCAGGCGAUCCCAGGCAGAUACGCCUGCCACUGCCCUAUCCCAACCUAGCACGCGAUCCCGUGAAGAUCCGAUGUCAGCUUCUGGUCCUUCGGGAGCCACUGCACCGUCGCCGCGUAUGGGGGGAGGGAGGGCAAAGCCGCCAGCACCCACUCCCGAUCCGCCAGCUGUCAUCUUCUACGCCGCCAUCUGGAUCCACUGCGCCACCCUCUUCUACAACAACAAGCGCUAUUCCAAAAGGGAUUCCUUAUUCACUGCCUAAACCAUCGCCAGUGCAUAGAACCAGAACAAGAUUGCAAAGCGGCAUAGUAAAGCCUAAGAAGCUGUAUGAUGGGAUGGUCAGGUAUGGUCACUUUUGUUCUACAGGAGAACCAGAAAAUGUUCAAGAGGCGUUGAGUGGCUUAAAGUGGAGAAACGCUAUGGAAGAUCAGUAUACUACUUUACUUCGGAAUCAAACUUGGCACCUUGUGCCGAGGCAAGAAGGAAAAAAUUUAAUUGACUGCAAGUGGGUGUACAAGAUCAAGGAAAAGGCAGAUGGUACAAUUGACAGGUAUAAAGCCCGGUUAGUAGCAAAAGGCUUCAAGCAACUAUAUGGUAUUAAUUAUGAGGAUACUUUCAGUCCUAUUGUCAAGAUUGCUACUGUCAGACUUGUGUUAUCCAUUGCAGUGUCUAAGGGAUGGUGCUUGAGGCAACUAGAUGUUCAGAACGCAUUUUUGCAUGGUGUUCUGAAAGACGAGGUAUAUAUGAGACAGCCACUAGGUUUUGAGAGUGUGAAUGCUCCACAUCUUGUGUGCAAGCUUGACAAGGCCAUCUAUGGAUUAAAGCAAGCACAAAGAGCCUGGUAUUCUAGGCUCAGUUCUAAAUUAUUAGAUCUUGGGUUCAAGACUUCAAAAUCUGACACCUCUCUCUUUAUUUACAAAAAGGGACAUAUAACAAUUUUUAUGUUAUUUACGUGGAUGAUAUUAUAGUUACCAGUUCCUCUCAGGAAGCUAUUGUGGCAGUGCUUCAAGAUCUCAAGAAAGACUUUGCACUGAAGGAUCUUGGCAAGUUACAUUACUUUCUAGGAAUUGAAGUGAAGAAGGAAAGGGAUGGCAUACAUCUGUCAUAGGGAAAAUAUGCAGAAGAUAUUCUGGCUCGUGUUAGAAUGGCAAAGUGCAAACCAUCACCAACACCUCUUUCUACUACAGAGAAGCUAUCAUGUCAUGAAGGAGUGGUGCUUGGUCUAGGGGACAGUACUUGGUAUAGAAGUAUUGUAGGUGCUCUUAAAUACCUCACCCUCACAGACCUGAUCUUGCUUAUUUAGUCAACAAGGUAUGCCAGUUUCUGCACUCUCCCACCACAAUUCAUUGGACUGCUGUUAAAAGGAUCUUGAGGUAUGUCAAAUACACCUGUGAGGUUGGGUUAAAAAUUCAUAAAUCUAGCUCAUCUCUUGUUAGUGCCUUUUCUGAUGCUGAUUGGGCUGGUAGUAUUGAUGAUAGAAGAUCCACUGGUGGUUUUUUGGAUUCUUUGAGCAAAUCUUAUUUCAUGGAGAGUAAGAAAACAAGCUACCGUUUCACGUUCAAGUACUGAAAUUGAGUAUAAGUCAAUGGCAGUGCAACGGCUGAGGUAAUAUGGUUACAGUCUUUGCUAGCAGAACUUGGUGUGCACCUCCAGGAACCACCAUGCAUGUUUGUGGUGUGAUAAUUUGGGUGCUACAUACUUGUCAGCUAAUCCUGUCUUUCAUGCUAGAGCCAAGGAUAUUGAAAUAGACCUUCACUUUGUACGUGAACUGUGACAAAUAAGCAACUGCAGGUUCGGUUUAUACCAAUAGGAGAUCAGUUAGUUGAUGGUUUCACAAAGGCUAUUCCCGUUCAAAAGCUUGAGAACUUCAGGAACAAUCUGAAUCUUCAGGCGAGCAGAAGUUUCGAUUGAGAGGGGCUAUUAGAAGUAUUUGUCAUCGUAUGUAAAUCGAGGACCAGGUUGUUGGACUCGUUAGCUAUCAGGAGGUGUAGAUAUGGUUUGGUUGUGUAGAGAUAGAGUAGAAUUAAAACUUAAAUGUAUCCUAUAGGAUCACAAUCGAACCUAAUCACAACUACUUGCGAUUGUAAUCUCUUUGAGCUGUUUUAUACCUCCUAUAUAAACACGUACCAUGGCAAUGCCGGAUAGGCAACCAUGUUUCUUCCAUCUUACACCGCCCUGAGGUAGAUCCACGCACAGGCGGCCGUGUCCUAGCAGUGCCACACCGGAUCUGGGUCGGAAGCCGCGACCUGGGAGCACCGCCUCGGAUCUGGGCCGUCACCCACAAAGGAACGGGUGCGGCACCCCAUCACCGCCGCUCUAGACCCACGCCGGAACCGGCAAGGGUGCUGGGUGUGCAAGCCUGCGGGUGCGGGGUAUGCGCCGGCGAACGAAGCGCACCUGGAAAAGUGAAGGACACCAUGCUGUUUUGAGCGGGUGGAGGGGCGAGUGUGGAGGGACUAACUAAACGACGUGGGCCGUUGAAUUUGAGUGAUGAGAGAGAAAACGAUGGCAGUAGAGAUCUUGAUGGUCCAUUUUAACUGGGUUGAAUCUUUGGGUGCACAAAAUGGUGUGAACGGAGGAAAUAUUAUCUCUAUGGGGAAACAUUGUGGUGUGUCCAUAGCAAAGAGUUAACUGGUGGAUUUAGUAGGUGUAGAUUUGAGUGGUAAUGCACAUGAUGAGGUAGAAUGCUUGUGUUUGCAGUGAAUCAAUCAGCAUGGUUUGAAUCCACUGAUACGCCUAAUAACAAGAGAUGAAUAAAGGAAGAAUAAUCACAAAGUUCUUUGGAAUUAGUCUAAAUUGUAUAUUAACAAAAGUUUCAAUGAUAGGUAAGGUUACUGGGAAAAGUAAAUUCAGAAUUGUUUGACAAGUGCUUUCUAGAUGAGAGAUAGUCCCUUGAUCCUAAAAUGCCACAUAAUAUUGUUUAAACAUUGUGCCAGCAUCUGCACUUUUUUCCAAGAAAAACUGAAAACUGACUCCAGAAUGAAUUCAAUUCAAGUAGGAUACCAGCAGCGUGUGUUUUAACUAUUCCUUCAGGGACUCCUCAGUAAAUUAUGCUGUCUCCUGCUUCAAUGAAAAGGCAGAGCACCUGCCAUUGUUCUAAAAAAAAGACAACUCAAUAGUCCUCGACUCUUUCUGCUAUCAAUUUUGUUAUGAAAGCCUGGCAGAAAUCACAACUCUUCACGAACUCAGCAAAACCCGAAUAAGGCUGGAGGGGUUUCGUUCCAGAGGUACGGGGUUUGAUUUCGGGUCGCUAAGAGGUUGGAAUAACCAAAACGAGCUGGAACUGAUUCAAGACCAGCUCUAUUCCGGUCCGAACUUGUAACAACCUAAAUGUAAUUACAUUGUUGAACAUUGCAUCAUGAGCAUCAUUGUUUGCUAGUAUAAAAUUUUUGUGCUUGUUUGAAUGCAUUUGCAUUUUAAUUUAAAUUAUUGAAUAAAGUGAAAAUGCAUGCCUUGUAAAGAAACUUUCUUUUUCCAAUAGGACAUAUAUGGAAUCAUAGUUUGGUAAAAUACUUCUUCAUUAAAUAUGAAUUUAGGUGGUUUUUCCCGAAUUUUAGGAAUCCAUCUUGAAGCCAAACAGCUCAGCCAAAAAAUCAAAAAUAGCAUUCCGGGAAGAAUUUUCAUUCAAAUCUGCCGUAGCUUUUCUUCCCGAUUCAAGCAAAAUGGGUUACUCCUGAUUUCUUGUAUGAACACAAUUUUCUAUGGAAUUUUCAAAGGCUUGGAAGAUCAAGUUUGGAGUAUGGAACAAGAGAGAAGUUUCUGUACAAAACUAUCCAUGUUACAUGACUUUUGUUCCAUGGACUAUCCACCCCUCCCACGCGAACUAUCCAUGAGACACCCGUGUGUGCAUGUUGCGCUUGCAAAGAUGCGGUGCCACACACCUUUGGACCCUACCCGAUCUCUCCACCUCACUCCUGCGCCCCUCUCCUCCUAGUUCCCUUCCUCCUCCACACAGAAGCCCCCCUCCCUCCCUUGCAUCUUCCCCAACCAAGCCAUGGAGGAAGAACUCCUCCCUCCCCACCAAAUCCACCACCACCAUCAUAGGAGUUGAGUGGAGGACUGCCGGAGGAUGUCAUCGACGAGCUCCCCCAUCACCUCGUCUACCUCUUCCUCACCGAAGACCAAGGAGAGGGCCAUCCCCAAGCUUCUUCUUCCUCUUCCUCAAGCUCUCAAGGAUGAACUCGACCCAAUCUACUCCAACGCUGCCCUACGCCAACAAGUGGCCUCUUGCUCUGCUCUACUCAUUGCUAGUGAGCUUUCCUCACUGCUCAUCAUUUCCCUUUUGCCCUCAAUCAAGCUCCAUAGCCCAUCCAUAGACUAUCACCAUUGAAGACCUAGAGCUAAAAAUACCCCGUGCAUGUCAAAUCCCCUACCCAAAAUGAGUUCUCCAUAUCCUUAGGAAGCUGUAGGAACAAACGGCAUGAAAACUGUGGCCGGAGCUGCCGCCGACGACCUCGUUCGCCGGUGAGCCUCGGCUGGCACUCGGACGGUCCGCAACCUAGGGGUGGACGGUCCGUGAAUCAUGACCCAACACACCGAGCCUUUACAAAAAAAUGCGUCCCCAGAAAUUCGUAUGGCGAAUGGUCCGCCACCCACCCAUGGACUGUCCGCGGUUCACCCCCAAAAUCCACACAGAAACGAUUCGUUUCUACUACUCACCCUGUCUUUGUAUGGAUGACGGUCCGCCAUUUGACCCCGGACGGUCCGCAGUUCAAUUCCCAGGUUUACACAGAAUCGAUGUGUUUCUGGAGCCCACCCUCCGCUGUACUAGCGGACGGUCCGCAGGUACACGGUAUAAACCUAGCCAACCCUGUUUGUUUGAAUGCAUACCAUCUUGUAUAAUUCAUAUAAAAUUGGAUAUAGCUCGGAAUAAUGUGAAACAAAUUUUGUUGAUUUAAUAAUGAUGUCUAGUAUCUGUUAAAAAUAUGUUUGCUCACAAAAUAAUUAAUUAGUUAUAUGAUUCAGUUGGAUGAGUGUUUAUCUUAUUAAUUGCAUGGUUAAUUCUCUAUUAGUUCAAAAAUUAUGAAAUUUUUUUCUAGUUCAUUUAUGGUAUGUAUAAUCCAGUGGAAGUACUUGUUUGCAUUAUUUGUGUGCAGACUGAUAUAAUUUUAGAUAUGUUUGAACCUAGUUAAUUAGUAAAAUGCAUUAUAAUUUCAUAUGUGCUUCUAAAAUUAUGGAUCCAACUUUGAUAGCUUCCUUUAACUAUCAACUGCUGUUUUAAAUUAAUAUGACUUAGAUAAUACACUUACAUAGUUAUUAAGUGUUGAAUUAUCAUAUUUCUUAGCUUGUUAAAUUGAUGAUCAAUUAUAUAGAUGCUUCUAAAAUCAUGAAACCAAUCUUAUUAGUUACCUAUGAUCAUGAUAUAUUAUUUUUAAUUCUUGACCCUCAUGAGAGGAUUGUAUAAGGAUACAACUGUACUUAUAUGCUUGUUCUAAAACUAGCUUGCUUGCAAAAUACCUAGGUAAUCAAUUGUGCUCAUGUGAGCUAUAAAACCACCUUUGUUAUCUAAGGAUAAAUGCGCUAUAGCUUUGUGAUUAGAAACCAUCAUGAUACAACAUAGAAUGAUGAUGCUUGCCUUAAUUUAUCAAGUAUGAUAAGUUUAUCUAACCUCUAAUUUAGGGAAUAACUUUACUAAUCUUAGCUAAGAUGAGAUGUGCUAGUUCCCCAUUAAUUCAUGAAUUUUCUAAGGUUGGUUAACUAGUAUUACUAACUAGCUUACUUGAGCAUGUUCAUUUAUUAAUGUUGGUAACAUUAUGAGAUAAUUUCUAUGGUUGAUGCUUUAUGUUGUGACAAUUUAAUUAUGUUAUAGUUUAUAUGACAACUAAAAAUAGCACAACUAAUGUUAAUAACCUUCUCAUACUACAACUUGUCUUAGAAUGUAUGUGCACAUGUAUGAGUUAUUAUUUUGACGCAUUCUCUCUAUGUUAUGCUUGUGUGCUCUACUUCUAAUCUUUAAUUUCUUGCUUAAUGACCUGAAAUCAUCUUAGCCUUUACUUCUCAUAAGUCGUUGCAUCUCAUAUGCAUAUACAUUGAUGUCAUUCUUUCUAAUUCAUGCAUUCAUCUAAUCUCGUAGAGGAUGAUGUUCUGGAGUGUUGCGUUCUUGGAGCACCAAUCUUAGGCAGGCACCUAUGUAUCUCAACUCUAUUUUCUAAAUGUGAAAUGCUAUUAUUUAUUAAUGGUUUUGCAUGGGCUUAGAUCUAUCUAGAUAUAUGCAAUGAGUAGAACCUACUAGACAUGUCAACUCUUGGUGUUAGCCCAACUUAUUUAGUAAAAGUAUGAAUGCUAGAAAUCUUGAUAUAAUUGGUUAGCCAUGCUUAGUUCUCGGUAGAAGUUGAGGGGUGGCAAGGUCACCACCGCUCGCGAGUUGUAGGAUGCUUGCUUAAUUAAUGCUUGAAUAGCCAUGAAUGGAUUAAAAUUGAGCAAAUGUGAAUGAUGAUUCGGACAUGAGCAAGAAUGGUAGGGUCAUGUUGAGAUUGGAGCUCACUUGACUUAGACUUGUUUCAGUUGGUUAAGGACCAAUCUCUAUAGCUUGACUCUUGAGCACUAUUCUAUACAAACCACAUACUUAAUAUAGGAAUGGUAAGCCAAGUCGCAUAAGUCGCACCUUGCCUUGACCAGAUUCGGCGCGGGAUGGGAUGAGGUGUGAUCAGCCGUGUCCGGUGCAUCUAUAUAUUUUCGACCGUUCAUUCAUAGUUAGGUGUGGGUAUGUGAACGGUUGGGCACAUGAAUCAACAUUUAUCCUAGGCCAAGGGUAUGGUCGUUGGUCUUGUGUCUCAUGUGGGAAAAGUUGUAUACCCCUGCAUGGUACUAAUAUAUUGCAAUAGCCUCGCUCCAGGUCACGGAGCACGCUCCUGAGUUUUGAAUUUCAAAGUAGAGUUACCGAAUGGAGUUCAUGGAAGAUUGAGCUCAUGACAUAUGAUCACUUUACUUAUGCAAUUGUAUUGAUGCUUGACGUAGAAUUAUAGAUGCUAUGUCUUUUGCUUAUUCAGCAUUUUAUGGUUUAAUGAUAAAACUUGACAAGCCUCAUGCAUCCACCAAAUAUAUAGUAUUAUGGAUAAGCCCUGCAAGUACGCAAUGUACUUACGGUGUUGCCAUUAAGUUGUUUUGCAAGUUUCCCUGUUGUGAGCGAUGGCCACAUUCAUCCCACUGGAGCCGGCAAAGUGGAUGGAUGGUGGAGGUCGCUCUAAGCUUGUGCAGGUGGUGUCUUAUGGGCAAGGACAUCAUUGUUGCACCUUAUUAUUUAUUAUCUUCCUGCUGCGAUUUAACUCUCAAUCUAAGAAAAACUUGAUAGGAUAGCCACUAGACCUAGGCUACAUCUAAGUUCAAUAAAAACCUCCCUUUUAGUUGAUGAAAACUCUCACGUUCUAGUUGCUAUAUGUUGUAAUUAUAAUCUCUAAAUUUUUGUAAGAUGAUCAAGACUUGCAAACAAGGUUCAAAAUUUGCUCUCAUAUGUAUUCUUUUGAUGGUUGCCAUGAUGUAAAAACGGUAUGCGUGUUGUUCCUUGACAAUGCUCUAGGCGCAUACCGGGGACUACCGGGAUUAUUUCGAUUAAGUCGGGUCAAUCAAUGGAUCAUAACCUAGUUUAGUUGAGAUAAUUUGGGCGGUUCCUUAUGGAACCAAACAAUUAUUUUGUGUUAGGCUGGAUUUUAAACCGGGUCAAAUCAAUCUAUGCGAAAUAGAUCUCAUAUCUGAUGGUUCCAAGAGAACCCAACGAGGCCUAAAUAAACCAAGUCGGGUAGGCCAUGUUUGCCCACGUGCGUCGGCCACUCUUUCCAGGAUGCGCGAGCAUGACAACAACCAAUGGAUGCCAAACCAAGCCAACAUGGUGGCGGUGCUAGCGUCUUGCUGCCGGAAGACAUCAUCCUUGACAUGCUGUCCAGGCUGCCACGAAGCCCAUGUGCCGGUUCUGGUGCGUGUCCAAGGGGUAGCGUGCCCUCAUCUCUGACCCAACCUUCGUUGCCGCAUAGAAAUCCUACACUGGCCCGCUCCUCAUCAGCACGUUCAAUGGACCAUAGAAGCUCGUCGCGUACACGCCGUCCGGCGAGCCACAGCACCGCGAUACGCUGGAGCUCGGGGUGAUGGACAUGUACAGCAAUGUCCUCAGGGUGGUUGACGACGUCAGGUGCAGGGAGUUGCAGUGCACACGCCUUGACCU
rnacentral:lncRNA from 1 species